CAGCCUGUGAUUUUCAAGUACAUGGUCAGCAUGGACCAACUAAUUGACUAGAUGGACCACUGCCAACAGGAGCUGGCUUUCCACCGCAGGAGGUCAAGGCCUUCAGCUCACCUUGUCAUUAGAUUUGUGACUAUGUCCAACCCUGCUGCCUUGAUGAACCUCUUUGGUUUUCUGGAGGCUGAUCUGAGUUCUUGGAGGUCAUAUGUCAAGUCUGUCACUCAGCAGCUGGGGUAUCCUAGGAUCUUUCUGAAUCUUCAGAGAUGCAAAUAG
rnacentral:lncRNA from 1 species